UUGAAAUGCCACUUCGGAUAUGUCGUACCCAAAGAAGGAAAUGAAGUAAAAAUAAUACUUAUAGUUAUAAUUAAUAAUAAAAAUAGUACUAACUUGGAAAUUUAUUUCUAACUCGUCUGUCCUUUGGCACAUUCCCAUAAAGUUUGCCUUUUGGCACGUUUCUCCUAAUCUCAGUGGUUGCUGUUGCCGUGGUUUCACCAUUGAUGAAUCGGCUAUGG
rnacentral:lncRNA from 1 species